rnacentral:lncRNA from 1 species
UGUUUGCAGAUACCCACACAGAGCUUUUUUAAGACUUAUUUUUAAAAUAAUGCUUGUAGACUAAAGUGUUUUUCAGGAGUUACACUAACUUUAUUAAAUUAAAAUUUUCUAUUUGUAAGAAAAUUCUUAGGACAUAAAAAUUAUGAGAAUAAUAGUCUGAUUUUUCCAGAUAAAUUGUAAGAAUGAUUAAGUGUAAUAUUUUGAUAUUACACAUCUCCAUUGGAAUAAGGAGAAAUAUAACCUAUAGAUUUUUUUCUUUGCUUUGCUACUACAUUAAAGCUAAUUAUCAAUACAUAGUUAUAUAGUAUAUGUUGUUUUCUUCAUUCUUUAUAUUGCAUUUUAUAUUUGAGUCCACCAUGACAAAAAGUGGAUGUUAUGAAACAAUUCUGAUAUUAAGAAACAGUCUGCGAAAAUAAGAUCAAGCAACUGUCAGUAAGAACUUUCACAGCAGACAGCUCACCCUAGCUGUUCCCAGUACUUCUCCACCCCAUCAGUAGUCAGAACUUAAAAUUAGACAGAUGCUAUCUUUAAAGAAUGUCUGUCUAACAAAUCACUGAGCUAUCUUUUCAUAAGAAUUACUAGUUGAUAAUUAUAUAAAUAACCAUAGUCACCUCUGUGGUUUCCACAACCAAAUAUUCAGCCAACUAAGGAUCAAAAUACUUGGGAACAAAAGUCCAUUUGUAUAUAACAAACAUGUUUAGUGUGUUUCCAUCCCAUAAGCCAGAUAGUAUAACUACCAUUUAUAUUUUUCUAGGUAUUAUAAAUAAGCUGAGAGAGUUUAAAGUAUACCUGAAGAUCAUUGUGUGGUAUAUUCCAAUCCGGUUCCAUUUUUUAAAGGAACCUAAGCAUAUUCAGCCGUUUUUACCUGUGCACCCUAAAGCCAGUUCCACACAAAUACCAACGGAGUGCUAUAUUCCCAACAUUGCUAGUGACUGUUAGAGGAUGCCUUCAGAGCCUCUUUCCUGAGUGUCCUUUACCUCUGCUGUCUGACUGGAAACACAGCUAGAAUUACAAUGAUCACAAGUAAAUCUCAACAAAUGAUCCCAUUCUUUUGUAAAUCUGAAAUGUUAGAAUCCAGUAAACUUAAAGAUGUAUAAUAUGUGUAAUGCAUGAAUUAGAAUCAGAUUUUUA